GCUAGAGCUCGGUUGGGAUAUCUGAUGGAGCGGAAUGGCUCUCUAUUGUUGGUCUGGGAGAAGCUCGGAUGUCUCUGAAGCUGCUGACGAGUCUACUGUUGUCAGAUACCUUAGGCACUGAUACUACAGGUGGGAGUCAUCUGCUGUAGAAGCUCAGAUGGAGACUUUCCAUUGGCAAAGCCCGAUAGGGGUCCGAUUGCUAGAGAAGUCCAUCUGGGAUUCGCCUGAUGUGGAAGCUUGUCUGAAGAUGAUCCAUUGGAGAAGUCUAGUUUC
rnacentral:lncRNA from 1 species